rnacentral:sRNA from 1 species
AAUUUACGUGUAAAAAUGUUAGGAUUUUAUGUUACUACUAGAUUUUAACCCGCGGUAUACCGCGGAGAUAAUUUAUUUUUUAAAGUUACUAUAUAUAAUAGUUUGCAAAUUAUAUUUAUUUAUAAAAUAUUUUUGUUUUAUAGUUUACGAUUGUUAUUAAGUAACGUCCUGUCAAACCCGUCCCGCCAAUCCGUCCCGUAAAAAAAACUCACUGAUUUUAUUUAUGAUAUGUUUAUGAAUCAUUGUCUAAAUAUUUUUUAAUUUUGUAGUAAUUAAAUGCUAUCAAAUAUCUCUGCGGUUUGAUGAUUAUAAUCGAAUUAUUAUAGUCAUGUAGAAAAACAAUAUCAAAAAUGAUAAUUUUGUAGUAAUUAAAUGAUAUUAAAUAUUUUGGAAGUUUUAUUUUAAUAACUAAUCGUGUAGUUAAUGUGGAGAGAUUUUGGGAAGAUUGUCAAAUAUUUAAUUCAAAGAUUUUCUUUCUAAUUAUCAAAAACAAUUAUUAAAUGUCAGUAGCAGCCACUGUAAAUAAAUCUCAACUCCAAGAUUUAUUUUACAAAGUGGCUGCAAAAAUGUAUAUAUAGAUAUCUAUAUAUCAAUAUUUAGUUAUAUACGUACUUUGACUAGAUGUCUACAAUUUUCAUCAAUACGAAUGGCCAGUUAAAGU